UCCAGACUCCUACGGGAGGCAGCAGUGAGGAAUAUUGGUCAAUGGCCGGAAGGCUGAACCAGCCAAGUCGCGUGAGGGAAUAAGGCCCUAUGGGUCGUAAACCUCUUUUGUCAGGGAGCAAAGGCGUCCACGUGUGGACGAGAGGAGAGUACCUGAAGAAAAAGCAUCGGCUAACUCCGUGCCAGCAGCCGCGGUAAUACGGAGGAUGCGAGCGUUAUCCGGAUUUAUUGGGUUUAAAGGGUGCGUAGGCGGAGUGUCAAGUCAGCGGUAAAAUUUCGGGGCUCAACCCCGUCGUGCCGUUGAAACUGACGGCCUCGAGUGGGCGAGAAGUAUGCGGAAUGCGUGGUGUAGCGGUGAAAUGCAUAGAUAUCACGCAGAACUCCGAUUGCGAAGGCAGCAUACCGGUGCCCGACUGACGCUGAGGCACGAAAGCGUGGGUAUCGAACAGGAUUAGAUACCCUAGUA
rnacentral:rRNA from 1 species